GACGAACGCUGGCGGCGUGCUUAACACAUGCAAGUCGAACGGAAAGGCCCUGCAUUUUUGGGUUGCUCGAGUGGCGAACGGGUGAGUAACACGUGAGUAACCUGCCCUUGACUUUGGGAUAACUUCAGGAAACUGGGGCUAAUACCGGAUAGGAGCUCCUGCUGCAUGGUGGGGGUUGGAAAGUUUCGGCGGUUGGGGAUGGACUCGCGGCUUAUCAGCUUGUUGGUGGGGUAGUGGCUUACCAAGGCUUUGACGUGUAGACGGCCUGAGAGGGUGACCGGCCACAUUGGGACUGAGCUACGGCCCAGACUACUACGGGAGGCAGGAGUGGGGACUAUUGUACGAUGGGCGGAAGCCUGAUGCAGCAACGCCGCGUGCGGGAUGACGGCCUUCGGGUUGUAAACCGCUUUCGCCUGUGACGAAGCGUGAGUGACGGUAAUGGGUAAAGAAGCACCGGCUAACUACGUG
rnacentral:rRNA from 1 species